CACCUGUGUGCUCAGACCUCUCACUGGGACUCCAGCAACCUUUGGUAGAAUUGGAGAGACAAAGUGCAGAGUGAUCGUAAUCUACAACCCUUGUUGAAAUGGCAGAAAGAGGACUUGUCCAGCAUCGAGCUGUUUUCAAAUGGCACAGCUCUUAGAGCCCUGCUCCAACAGACGGUGCAUGUCCAAGCUCUGGCGUGCUGGUGCUGCUCCAAGGCUGCCAGCCUUGCAGAGAAGGAGAUGGUUUUGUUUAGUAUGCUUAUAUGAAGAAAAAAGUCUGUCAAAACAGGGGUUUGGGAAGGGGAGGGGGGAGCAGGAAGUCUUUCUGUUAGCAUUUAUUAGAAGGGAAAUGGAUGUUUCAUGUUCAUGGGCCCUGCUGAAUGUGCAGUGCUCAGGGCCAGUGGUGUGGUGAAAGCCUCCUGACUUCUGAAGUGAGGGGUGCAAAUGUGAUCUGGAAUAAGCAAGAAAGGACUAAAUAUAGAAUGCACUGGCUCCCAUCCUGCCAUGGCAGCGCUGCCCUCACUGCACUUCUGGAGGCAGCAAGUUCUGCCUAUUGUUCCGGUCACAUUCCUGUGUCCCACGAUGGGGCCUCUGAUGGAAUAAAAUGAAGAGAAACAGAUGGGAAAACAAUAACCCAAGGAACAGGCUCUGAGCUUUUCUGGAAGCUUCCAAAACCCCAUAAAUCCCCAAAUGCGUUUGUGCUGGAUUAGGGAACUGAAGCAAAGCAAGGGCCAAGUACAUGCCUUGCUGUAUCCCGUGUGAUUUUGUACAGAGGCAGUUCUCUGGGGGGGCUUUACCUUGCAACAUGUUAUUGUAAUGGCAACUCUUCUUAAUGUUUUAAUUCUGGCAACUUUGCCAGCUGUCCUUUCUCUGCACUCCCUACCCUUUUUGUCUUGCAGGCCUGGAUAAAGUGACUGCACAAGGAGCGAGCCCACCUCUCCAUCUUUCUCAUGUACAACUGAGCUGGCUGCAGGCAAAACAUAGUGAGACCUUUGCAAGGCACUGGUGCAGUGCCUCUGAGUUGCUGGAAGUGUGACUUGCACAGAUCCUGCUGCUUAGCUCAUGUGGGAGGAGGAAAAUGUCUUCAGCCAGCAGUGAGGUGGGUCCUUGGGAUCCCUGAAGUUCUGCGGUUUGCAACAGUCCUCCCUGGUGAGUGCAGAAGUAGAGACUAUGCUUUCCUCUGCAGUCCGCGCAGUGCUGUUUGCCUCUGCUGAAGCUGUCUACCUGGAAGCACACGAACAGG